rnacentral:ncRNA from 1 species
UAUUUAUAUACCUUCUGUCAUCCCAGUGCUUGACUACUUGGAUCCAGACAAUUUAAUUGCAAAUGAGUACAUCAAAUGGCAGUAUAAUAAAAACUGGAUUCCAGUGUCAAGCACUGGAAUGACACCAGAACGAACUA